UACGUAGGGUCCGAGCGUUGUCCGGAUUUAUUGGGCGUAAAGAGCUCGUAGGCGGCUUGCUAAGUCAGGUGUGAAACCUCCAGGCUCAACCUGGAGCCGCCACCUGAUACUGGUAUGGCUAGAGUCCGGUAGGGGACCACGGAAUUCCCGGUGUAGUGGUGGAAUGCGUAGAUAUCGGGAGGAACACCAGUGGCGAAGGCGGUUGCCUGGAGCUUUGCUGACGCUGAUGCGCGAAAGCGUGGGGAGCGAGUCCGG
rnacentral:rRNA from 1 species